AAUAUAUUAACAAGUUGUAGUUCCACCAACCGAAGGCUUAAAGUUCUCUCAGAAUCUCAGACCUACAGCAGCAUUCUCUCCAUCUGGCUGAAACCACCUCUCUCAUGUCUCCUCAAAUGAAUUUGGAAAGUAUCUUGAUUUAUGACUUUCUUGGUUCUAUGACUUACAAAAAGUUCACGAAGUGGCUUCCACCAUGGAGCACGGAUUUUUCGGGUGACCUAAAUCUGAGUUUCUUGGCCACAGUCACUCCUAGCUGGCUUUGGAAUAAACUUCUUCUUAUCUCAAGAGCCGUGUUUUGGCUUGGACAGUCACGAUGCUCAAGCAAUGAUCCACUUUUUGUGGGAAGAGCCACUUGGAUGGAAACAAGUCUUCUAUUCACAGGCAGAUGCUGUUGGCAGAGCCAUCCCGUUCCGCUUUUCAGCCUUCACAAUUGCAUGUAAACGGAGUUGGCAUUGCAGGAGAGCUUUCAUGGGGCAGCCAAGUGUGCCCUCAGCUCACUUUCCGCUGUAAAAUCAUCAGCAAGUCUCUGUGCCACGGGAAGGUGGGAAGGUACCUCCUCUGAGUGCAUCGGCACGUGGGUGCCUUCUGCUGCCCCUGACCUUCCGACAGCCCAAGGCCUUUCAUAGUUCAGAAGGUACACCAAAUAACAGUUGGUUCCCCCUUGGUUUGUCUGUCCUCUUCCUUCUCCUUCCCUCUGUCCCUCUCCUCUUCCUUCCUUGGUGCCAUUUAAAUCCAGGGUUUAAAUCUUGCUCUUCUAGGCAAGCACUCUACACUGAGCCACACACCUGCCCUCUUUUCCAACUCUCAAUAGGUUGCCAGGCUGGCCAAGUGGAGACAUUCCUGCUGCAAGCUCCCAAUAGCAGGGAUAAAAGGUGUAGCACCUUGCAGGGCCCUCGUUUCUUUUCUAGGUCGGGGGAAGAACAUCACGUAAUUACAAUGAAAUAGCACUUGGAAAGGUGGAAAACAGUUCUUUAGACUCACCCCAUAACAGGUACCCUGAACUUUACCUCUUUCAAGAGCUGUUCCAGGGGCUGGAGAGAUGGCUCAGCAGUAAACACUUGCUCUUGCAUGCAUAGGUCUUGAGUUCAGUUUCCAGCACCCAUAUUAGGCAGUUCAUAUGUGACUCCAGCCCCAGGGGAGGAUCUGAUGCCCUCUUCUGGUCUCUUUGUGUAUCCAAACUUACUUACUUACGUACAUACACACACACACACACACACUCUUUAAAAGAGAGAGAGAUCCCAAUUACUACUACUAUGAACUACCUUAUUCUGAACUCUUCUCUUUCUCUAAUACUGGAGGGGAAACUGAGGCAUGCAGCUGUGACUGAGGCAGCAAGUUUCCUGAAGACCACGCAUUGCCUAGUUAUUUCCUUCUCCAGGUGUGGUCCUGGCCGCCUGGGGCACUGGGAAGAGAUGAAGGCAUUCAUUACAGCUGCAGAAGGAGCCAAGGGUCAGGCAGGCAGCUAAGGAGUUCACCUGUUUGUUGGAGCUGGUCCUGCAUGAGAACGUGCAAGCUGGUUGGAUGGGCUGACCUUGCCUCCUUCCUUAUUAUGGCCACUGAGGAAGAGAAAACUCUUUCAUAACAAGUGACUGGGAAGUUAGUUCUCAGAAGUGUAGUUAAAGUUUAAUGACACCUACAUGGGAUGGGUGGGAAUGGGCUGGUUUCAUUGGUAGGCCUGUGUACAGGCAGAAGGCUGCACAUAGAUGGAAUCUGCACAUGUUUAAAGUUUUGCUGUUUCCCUUCUUGAAAUGUUUGGAGACAACAGUCUCUACAUAUUCACUGAGUUAUCAUUGAGUGGGGCAAGGGACAAGGGCAGAUUGAUCGUGUUUGCCUCCUGGCGGCAUCUUGACCUCCCCAGGGUUAUCAAAGGGCAUCCGGGCAAAUGGGAACGGCAGCCCCCUACAUCGGCACACCUGCUUGGUCUCCGGAAAUGCUUGCUCCCUAUCCACCACAUCUAGUGGCUCCAGGUCGGCCAAAUCUAGCUCUCAAAGUCUGACUCUGUGCUUGUGACUUCCAUCACACUGUCACCUGCUGCAAGCCAGAGUGGUCACCAACCUCUGUUGAGUGCUUGCUCAACAAAGUCUUGUCAGUGCUUGCUGCGGGUUGGGCCCUGGAAUGCGGAGGAUGUCGCCUGCCAGACUUUGGCUUGCAGUAAUCUGGAUCUGAUAUAGCAGGAUGCCUAGGGCUGCAGGGGAUAAGAGGCAGAGGAGGCCCCUGGUGGGAGCCAGGAAGGGGCCUGGGGGGUGGUGAAGGAAUGCACCAGGAACCAGGUUGGAGCGAUAGUUUUGUUAUCUCCCCCACCCCACCCCCCACCUUCAGGGCAAAAACCAGCCCUAAGACCUUUCCUUGGAAUUCUAAACCUCAUUCCUCACUCAGAGGGGGUUACUUAAGGUGGACAGAGGCUGUUCGUGAAAGAUAGGAGAAGCCUGACGUGGCGGCUCAUUCCUCUAAUUCCGGCACUUUGGAGACUCAGGCGGAGGAGGGAGUCCCAGGUCUUUUAACACCUGCCUGGCAGAUAGCUGUGUCUGCUCAGCUUGGAGUGGCGGCGUCUGUCUGGAAACCAGUUCAAACCAAUGGCUUAGAGACUUGUAAGGAUGCGUUCUGAACUCCACGUGGGGAGCUGAGCAGAGGGGCGAGGCGUUUCAGCACCACAGGGUGGACAGCACUCCUGGGGAGACUUGAGAAGCCUUCUGCGGCGAUAGCUGCCGGCCUCCUGCGCCUCCUUCCGCCCUUUUCAUCCGGAUCUUCACCCAGGUUUAUCCCUGCGGAGAGAUCGUCUCCUCCCCGCAGAGUUAUCCUGCAGGCUUCAACACCAGAGGUUGACGAGGUCCUGGAGCUGUGUGUACUCAGAGUAUCAUGAAUAAAGAGUGCAAGAAGUGGGGAGAGGGCCAAAG